rnacentral:lncRNA from 1 species
UGUGGGAUGCUUUAUUGAAGUUAUUUUGAUUUACAAAACCUCUACAAAAAGUUUUGAUAAUUUUAUGGUGCAUUCAAAAACACUUGUAGAUCAAAUUUCCAUCUGGAAAACUUCUAUAAUAUUUUAUAAGAAAAUUAUCAUUAACUUAAUCUCUUCCUACUUACUCCUAUUUAUUUGUAUUUAUUCAAAUAAUGUGGGUA